UACGAAGGGGGCGAGCGUUGUUCGGAUUUACUGGGCGUAAAGGGCGCGCAGGCGGCCAUUUUUGUCAGGCGUGAAAGCCCCGGGCUCAACCUGGGAAUUGCGCUUGGGACGGGAUGGCUAGAGAUCGGGAGAGGAGAGUGGAAUUCCCAGUGUAGAGGUGAAAUUCGUAGAUAUUGGGAAGAACACCUAUGGCGAAGGCAGCUCUCUGGGACGGUACUGACGCUGAGACGCGAAAGCGUGGGGAGCGAACAGG
rnacentral:rRNA from 1 species